rnacentral:rRNA from 1 species
AUUGAACGCUGGCGGCAAGCCUAACACAUGCAAGUCGAACGAGUGGCGGACGGGUGAGUAAUGUCUGGGAAACUGCCUGAUGGAGGGGGAUAACUACUGGAAACGGUAGCUAAUACCGCAUACCAUCGGAUGUGCCCAGAUGGGAUUAGCUAGAAGGUGGGGUAAAGGUUCACCUAGGCGACGAUCCCUAGAUGGGCUGAGAUGAUGACCAGCCACACUGGAACUGGGACACGGUCCAGACUCCUACGGGAGGCAGCAGUGGGGAUGAUUGCACAAUGGGCUCAAGCCUGAUGCAGCCAUGCCGCGUGUAUGAAGAAGGCCUUCGGGUUGUAAAGUACUUUCAGCGGGGAGGCGUUACCCGCAGAAGAAGCACCGGCUAACUCCGUGCCAGCAGCCGCGGUAAUAC